AGUGGCGGACGGGUGAGUAACGCGUGAGAAUCUGCCUUCAGGUCGGGGACAACAGAGGGAAACUUCUGCUAAUCCCGGAUGAGCCUUAGGGUAAAAAAUUUAUUGCCUGGAGAUGAGCUCGCGUCUGAUUAGCUAGUUGGUAAGGUAAAAGCUUACCAAGGCAACGAUCAGUAGCUGGUCUGAGAGGAUGAGCAGCCACACUGGGACUGAGACACGGCCCAGACUCCUACGGGAGGCAGCAGUGGGGAAUUUUCCGCAAUGGGCGAAAGCCUGACGGAGCAAGACCGCGUGGGGGAGGAAGGCUCUAGGGUUGUAAACCCCUUUUCUUUGGGAAGGACAAAAUGACGGUACCAAAGGAAUCAGCCUCGGCUAACUCCGUGCCAGCAGCCGCGGUAAUACGGAGGAGGCAAGCGUUAUCCGGAAUGAUUGGGCGUAAAGCGUCCUCAGGUGGCAAUGUAAGUCUGCUGUCAAAACCCAGGGCUCAACUCUGGUCAGGCAGUGGAAACUACAUAGCUAGAGUUCGGUAGGGGCAAAGGGAAUUCCCGGUGUAGCGGUGAAAUGCGUAGAGAUCGGGAAGAACAUCGGUGGCGAAAGCGCUUUGCUAGACCGAAACUGACACUCAGGGACGAAAGCUAGGGGAGCGAAUGGGAUUAGAUACCCC
rnacentral:rRNA from 1 species